AUACUCUGGUUUCUCUUCAGAUCGUAUAAAUCUUUCGCCUUUUACUAAAGAUUUCCGUGAAGAUUUGUUUAAAAUAUCUGCAAAUUCAUAGUUUAAAAAACUUUUCAUAGAGAAAAGGU